rnacentral:rRNA from 1 species
CGUAACGCGUGGGAAUCUGCCCCUCGGUUCGGAAUAACAGUUAGAAAUGACUGCUAAUACCGGAUGAUGACGAAAGUCCAAAGAUUUAUCGCCGAGGGAUGAGCCCGCGUAGGAUUAGCUAGUUGGUGAGGUAAAAGCUCACCAAGGCGACGAUCCUUAGCUGGUCUGAGAGGAUGAUCAGCCACACUGGGACUGAGACACGGCCCAGACUCCUACGGGAGGCAGCAGUGGGGAAUAUUGGACAAUGGGCGCAAGCCUGAUCCAGCAAUGCCGCGUGAGUGAUGAAGGCCUUAGGGUUGUAA